UACGUAGGCAGCGAGCGUUGUUCGGAGUUACUGGGCGUAAAGAGUGCGUAGGCGGUUUUCUAAGUUUGGUGUGAAAUCUCCCGGCUUAACUGGGAGGGUGCGCCGAAGACUGGAAGGCUUGAGUAUGGGAGAGGUAAGCGGAAUUCCAGGUGUAGCGGUGAAAUGCGUAGAUACCUGGAGGAACACCGGUGGCGAAGGCGGCAUCCUGGACCGAAACUGACACUGAGGCGCGAAAGCCAGGGGAGCAAACGGG
rnacentral:rRNA from 1 species